rnacentral:tRNA from 3 species
GGACCCGUAGCUCAGCCAGGAUAGAGCACUGGCCUCCGGAGCCGGAGGUCCCGGGUUCAAAUCCCGGCGGGUCCG